AGAGUUUGAUCAUGGCUCAGAACGAACGCUGGCGGCAUGCCUAACACAUGCAAGUCGAACGGGAUCCGGACUUCGGUCCGGUGAGAGUGGCGGACGGGUGAGUAACACGUGGGAACCUGCCUUUUGGUUCGGAAUAACAGUUAGAAAUGACUGCUAAUACCGGAUAAUGUCUUCGGACCAAAGAUUUAUCGCCCAGGGAUGAGCCCGGGUAGGAUUAGCUAGUUGGUGAGGUAAAGGCUCACCAAGGCGACGAUCCUUAGCUGGUCUGAGAGGAUGAUCAGCCACACUGGGACUGAGACACGGCCCAGACUCCUACGGGAGGCAGCAGUGGGGAAUAUUGGACAAUGGGCGAAAGCCUGAUCCAGCAAUGCCGCGUGAGUGAUGAAGGCCUUAGGGUUGUAAAGCUCUUUUACCCGGGAUGAUAAUGACAGUACCGGGAGAAUAAGCCCCGGCUAACUCCGUG
rnacentral:rRNA from 1 species